rnacentral:rRNA from 1 species
CCCAGUAAACGGCGGCCGUAACUAUAACGGUCCUAAGGUAGCGAAAUUCCUUGUCGGGUAAGUUCCGACCCGCACGAAAGGCGUAACGAUUUGGGCACUGUCUCAACGAGAGACUCGGUGAAAUCAUAGUACCUGUGAAGAUGCAGGUUACCCGCGACAGGACGGAAAGACCCCGUGGAGCUUUACUGUAGCCUGAUAUUGAAAUUCGGCACAGCUUGUACAGGAUAGGUAGGAGCCUUUGAAACGUGAGCGCUAGCUUACGUGGAGGCGCUGGUGGGAUACUACCCUAGCUGUGUUGGCUUUCUAACCCGCACCACUUAUCGUGGUGGGAGACAGUGUCAGGCGGGCAGUUUGACUGGGGCGGUCGCCUCCUAAAAGGUAACGGAGGCGCUCAAAGGUUCCCUCAGAAUGGUUGGAAAUCAUUCAUAGAGUGUAAAGGCAUAAGGGAGCUUGACUGCGAGACCUACAAGUCGAGCAGGGUCGAAAGACGGACUUAGUGAUCCGGUGGUUCCGCAUGGAAGGGCCAUCGCUCAACGGAUAAAAGCUACCCCGGGGAUAACAGGCUUAUCUCCCCCAAGAGUUCACAUCGACGGGGAGGUUUGGCACCUCGAUGUCGGCUCAUCGCAUCCUGGGGCUGUAGUCGGUCCCAAGGGUUGGGCUGUUCGCCCAUUAAAGCGGUACGCGAGCUGGGUUCAGAACGUCGUGAGACAGUUCGGUCCCUAUCCGUCGUGGGCGUAGGAAAUUUGAGAGGAGCUGUCCUUAGUACGAGAGGACCGGGAUGGACAUACCUCUGGUGUACCAGUUGUCGUGCCAACGGCAUAGCUGGGUAGCUAUGUGUGGACGGGAUAAGUGCUGAAAGCAUCUAAGCAUGAAGCCCCCCUCAAGAUGAGAUUUCCCAACUUCGGUUAUAAGAUCCCUCAAA